GCAUUAAUGGGGUAGUGGUAACCUGGGUCGUUGCCAUUGGGUAGAUUUGAAUACUCGACCCGCCGGGGGUUCGAUUCCCUCUUAAUGCA